AAUUCUUCCUAUUCGGGAAGGAUGAGAAGCUUCGACCAAGGUUCGAUUCGAGCGUUAGCGAGAAAGCGUUGCCGCAGGCAACGACCCGAAGGGC
rnacentral:sRNA from 1 species